rnacentral:rRNA from 1 species
AUUGAACGCUGGCGGCAUGCCUUACACAUGCAAGUCGAACGGUAACGGGCCUUCGGGUGCCGCCGAGUGGCGAACGGGUGAGUAAUACAUCGGAACGUGCCCGAUCGUGGGGGAUAACGAGGCGAAAGCUUUGCUAAUACCGCAUACGAUCUACGGAUGAAAGCAGGGGACCGCAAGGCCUUGCGCGGACGGAGCGGCCGAUGGCAGAUUAGGUAGUUGGUGGGAUAAAAGCUUACCAAGCCGACGAUCUGUAGCUGGUCUGAGAGGAUGAUCAGCCACACUGGGCCUGAGACACGGCCCAGACUCCUACGGGAGGCAGCAGUGGGGAAUUUUGGACAAUGGGCGCAAGCCUGAUCCAGCCAUGCCGCGUGCAGGAUGAAGGCCUUCGGGUUGUAAACUGCUUUUGUACGGAACGAAAAGCCUUCUUUUAAUACAGGAGGGUCAUGACGGUACCGUAAGAAUAAGCACCGGCUAACUACGUG